rnacentral:tRNA from 1 species
AGCCACCUGGGAGGAUCGAACUCCCGACCUUUGGUUUACAAGACCAACGCACUGCCACUGUGCUAAGGUGGCAA